GACGAACGCUGGCGGCGUGCCUAAUACACGCAAGUCGAACGAAGCUGUUUUAACUGGUGCUUGCACCGACUUAAACAACUGAGUGGCGAACGGGUGAGUAACACGUGGGUAACCUGCCCCAAAGCGGGGGAUAACAUUUGGAAACAGAUGCUAAUACCGCAUAACCACAGAAACCACAUGGUUUCUGUGUCAAAGAUGGUUUCGGCUAUCACUAUGGGAUGGACCCGCGGCGUAUUAGCUAGUUGGUAAGGUAAUGGCUUACCAAGGCAAUGAUACGUAGCCGAACUGAGAGGUUGAUCGGCCACAUUGGGACUGAGACACGGCCCAAACUCCUACGGGAGGCAGCAGUAGGGAAUCUUCCACAAUGGACGAAAGUCUGAUGGAGCAACGCCGCGUGAGUGAAGAAGGUUUUCGGAUCGUAAAACUCUGUUGUCAGAGAAGAACGUGUGCGAGAGUAACUGUUCGUGCAGUGACGGUAUCUGGCCAGAAAGCCACGGCUAACUACGUGCCAGCAGCCGCCGUAA
rnacentral:rRNA from 1 species